AACUUUUGACAACGGAUCACUUGGCUCUCGCAUCGAUGAAGAACGCAGCGAAAUGCGAUAAGUAAUGUGAAUUGCAGAAUUCAGGGAAUCAUCGAAUCUUUAAACGCACCUUGCACCCUUUGGCUUUCCGAAGGGAAUGCUCGUUGGGGUGUCAUUGUCCUCCCACACUCCCGAUGCUUUUGGAUUGGGAGUGGUGGACUUGGGUGUUGCUGCUUUACUGUGGCUCACCUCAAAUGGAGUAGUGCAACUCUUGGUUGGACAUAGUACGGCGUGAUAAGUGUCUUCGCCGGCGCCUCAUUAGAGGGUGGCCGAUCGGGAGCUCUGUGCUUCAAACCGUCUUCGGACAACAUCUGACAACUUGACCUCAAAUCGAGUAGGACUACCCGCUGAACUUAAGCAUAUCAAUAAGCGGAGGCU
rnacentral:misc_RNA from 1 species